rnacentral:rRNA from 1 species
AACGAACGCUGGCGGCAGGCUUAACACAUGCAAGUCGAGCGCCCCGCAAGGGGAGCGGCAGACGGGUGAGUAACGCGUGGGAACAUACCCUUUGGUUCGGAAUAACUCAGGGAAACUUGAGCUAAUACCGGAUACGUCCGUAAGGAGAAAGAUUUAUCGCCAAAGGAUUGGCCCGCGUCCGAUUAGCUAGUUGGUGAGGUAACGGCUCACCAAGGCUACGAUCGGUAGCUGGUCUGAGAGGAUGAUCAGCCACAUUGGGACUGAGACACGGCCCAAACUCCUACGGGAGGCAGCAGUGGGGAAUAUUGGACAAUGGGCGCAAGCCUGAUCCAGCAAUGCCGCGUGAGUGAUGAAGGCCCUAGGGUUGUAAAGCUCUUUUACCAGGGAUGAUAAUGACAGUACCUGGAGAAUAAGCUCCGGCUAACUCCGUGCCAGCAGCCGCGGUAAU